AACCUCAAAAAAAGAUGUGAGAAAGAGGGUUGGGAAAGCUGACAGAUCUGCUAUGGCAGAGCUUCUAAAGAAGAAAAAGACUGAAGACCAGCGGAACCAUGAAGCACACAAAACAAGCAAAUUUCCCUGCACUUCCACGGGCCAAGUACGUGCACGCAUGAGCCAGAAACUGAAAGAUGUCCGUUCAUCUCGAAGACGUGCAGAAAAGCAGGUUUAAGUGUGAUACCUUUUUUUUUGUUUGGAAAUAAGCCUUAAUAUUGCCUCAUACAAGUCAUUAAAAAACCCAUUUUA
rnacentral:lncRNA from 1 species